UGUCAAAUGUAUACAUUAUCAAAUAUGUAGCCAGAAUUUCUUGGACAUCAAGAAACUUCAGAAGAAGAAAAUAUAUCUAUACAUCGCAUGAGGGUGAUGAUGAAUUAGUUGCAAAUCCAUUUCAUUCAUUUAUAAAAAUCCACUUAUUUUGAUUUUAAAAUUUAUUUCAUUGAUAGUGAAAUCUGUUUGUUUGAUUUUGAAAUCAAGGGAUUUGUCGAUGAUUUGUAAAUAUAAUUUUUUUCUAAAUCCACUAAAAUACUAGAUCCAAUAACCCCUACUCAUUCUUCUCCGGACAUCAGGUCAAAUCCUCUCGAUUCCACCGACUAUAAUUUAAAUGAGAUGUAACGUUUCCGUCUUUAUUGAAAUUUCAUCUUUAAGUUUCACCAUUAAUUCUCUAAUUCAAGCUCUCCCACGACGUUUGGUUUUAAUUAUCUCUUUUUCUCACUUCCAUUGUAAGUUCCUAAUUUCUUCAACUAUAAAAAAAGGAUGUAGAGUACUAGGAAUCUCACUGCUUCAAACAAAACCCUCAACAAUGGCUUGGUGGCUGAUUACAAGGGAACGCUUACGUCACCAACUCAGCAAAAACUUCAUCUGGAAAGUGGAUCAUGACGCCGUAGCCUCAAUUUUCUCCAGAUCGCCGUUAUCUAACUCGCAGCCGCUGCUGACUGACGCGGACGCAAGCCAAGAUAAUAUGGAUAUCAAAAAUCAGAUAAGUGAUCAUCAAUUUCUUAUCAGUACAGAGGAUGUGUUUUCCUAUAUGCAUUUGGAGAUUAAUGUUACUGAAGCGAUUCUGAGCAGAACCUGCUUCAAAGACUUCGAAGCUUCUGGGUUUCAGGAAAACGUGUCGACCCGGAUUGUAAACCUUAAGAGGAGGAACGAAGCAUUUCUCUGCCCAGAUUAGCCAAUAUUGUGACCGGAAAAUGAGUGACGUCGUUUCAGUGCUUUGCUGGAACAGAGUCUAGCCUAAACCGCUUUACAGGGGUUUGUUGGUGCGUCGAAGAUGGUUUGGUAGGUUCAACUAUUAGCUAACUCAGUGAACAUGGGCUUGCAAAUCUUUCACGUGGAGGAAGACAACCGAUCUGAUCAUGUUUACAUGGAAGCAACUGGUGACCGGUUAAAGGAUCUGGUUCGAGCUAUGCUUCAACCAGUUAUAAUAUUGGUGAGGUUUGAUUAAAAUUAGGAAUGACUUUUGUGAGUAAAUAAUUGAAAGCUGGCAAUGACUCUUACCAUGAAAUGUAAGAUAUGUGCAUUUUUCAUAUAAACAUAUAAACAAUGACGUUUACUCUCUUCUUAGCCUAAAAGAUAUUUAAUUUUCAUAUUGAGUCAUAC